CAGCCGCCGCGGUAAUACAGAGGGUGCGAGCGUUAAUCGGAUUUACUGGGCGUAAAGCGUGCGUAGGCGGCUUUUUAAGUCGGAUGUGAAAUCCCCGAGCUUAACUUGGGAAUUGCAUUCGAUACUGGGAAGCUAGAGUAUGGGAGAGGAUGGUAGAAUUCCAGGUGUAGCGGUGAAAUGCGUAGAGAUCUGGAGGAAUACCGAUGGCGAAGGCAGCCAUCUGGCCUAAUACUGACGCUGAGGUACGAAAGCAUGGGGAGCAAACAGGAUUAGAUACCCCCGUAGUCCCUGUCUCUUAUAC
rnacentral:rRNA from 1 species